GACGAACGCUGGCGGCGCGCCUAACACAUGCAAGUCGAACGGAGUCAAGAGGAGCUUGCUUUUCUUGACUUAGUGGCGAACGGGUGAGUAACGCGUGAGUAACCUGCCCUGGAGUGGGGGACAACAGUUGGAAACGACUGCUAAUACCGCAUAAGCCCACGGAUCUGCAUGGAUCUGCGGGAAAAGGAUUUAUUCGCUCUAGGAUGGACUCGCGUCCAAUUAGCUAGUUGGUGAGGUAACGGCCCACCAAGGCGACGAUUGGUAGCCGGACUGAGAGGUUGAACGGCCACAUUGGGACUGAGGCACGGCCCAGACUCCUACGGGAGGCAGCAGUGGGGGAUAUUGCGCAAGGGGGGAAACCCUGAUGCAGCGGCGCCGCGUGGAGGAAGAAGGUUGUCGGAUUGUAAACUCCUGUCGUUAGAGACGAUAAUGACGGUACCUAACAAGAAAGCACCAGCUAACUACGUG
rnacentral:rRNA from 1 species